UACGUAGGGGGCGAGCGUUGUCCGGAGUUACUGGGCGUAAAGCGCACGCAGGCGGUGCUGCGCGUUUGGGGUUACAGCUCCCGGCUCAACCGGGAGAGCGCCUCGAAGACGGCAGCACUUGAGGGCCAGAGAGGGACACGGAACUCCGGGUGGAGUGGUGAAAUGCGUAGAUAUCGUAAGGAAGACCAGUGGCGAAGGCGGGUCUCUGGACAGUUCCUGACGCUGAGGCACGAAGGCCAGGGGAGCAAACGGG
rnacentral:rRNA from 1 species